UCUGGCCUGAGCCAUUGGGUUGAUGACACGUCAGGGCUUUGUCUGGCACCGUAUAUAUUCUUCUGUUUCAUGGGGACGGGGUCUUUUUCCUCUCUACAACCUCAAGUGUAAGUGCUCCAAUAAAGUGUGUUCUGAGAAGAAUCCUGUUGCAGUCGUCUCUUCUGCUGGCGGGAGCGGCGUGCUGCAAUGAAGCCUACCUUUCCCUCUAUAAACAGUUAUGAUGUGGAAACCACUGCUUAGAAAGAAAAACGACUUCCUUGAGGAUCUCAGAAUGAGGUGUUGAAGGACCCUGGUUUGUUUCUGCCUGAGAGAUGUAACUUCUCUCUGGGGCCCAGCCUGGGGCAUCCUGAAUGAAGGAUUUCUCAUUACUGUGACAAAAUGUCCGACAAGGGGCAGCUUGAGGAAGAAGAGCUUAUUGUGGCUCACAGUUUGUGAGCACAGUUCAUGGUGGUGGGGAAGGCUUGGUGGCAGGAGCGUGAGGCAGCUGCUCACAUGGCAUCCACAGUCAGGAAGUAGAGAGAGAUGAUGCUGGUGCUCAGCUCUCAGUCUCCCCUCUUCAUUCGGCCCAGGACGCCAGCCCAUGGAAGGAAGUUAAAGUGGCUCUUCCCAUCUGAACUAACCGGUCUAGACAAUCCCCCAGACAUGCCCACAGGUCCGUCUGAUCUGGAAACUAGCAAUGGGUUCUCUCUGGGCAAUGACUUCCAGCUAAAUGACAAGAGAAACUUCUGCAUUGGGGAACAAAGGAGGAAGACUAUGAAUCUAACUGAAAAUAUGCAUGCUCCUGAGGAAUAACAAGCAUUGAAGAAACCGUAGAGCAGACGGAAAGAACGGAAAGAACGAUGCCUUCCAGCGCCGGGGAGCUGAUGAGGAACGCCGAGGGCCCAGGGCUUCGGAGUAGCUGGCAUUUCUUUUUCUCUUGACAGGGCUGCUGACAGGCCCUUUAGCAGUACAGAGGCUAAUUACUCGCCAGGAGUGAGCGAAAAUGUGCCGUUUGGUUGUUCUGGAGCUUCCCAGGGCAAUAAAUCACAGCCGCGGA